CAAUAGCGUAUAUUUAAGUUGUUGCAGUUAAAAAGCUCGUAGUUGGAUUUCGGAUGGGAUUUGCCGGUCCGUCGUUACGAUGUGCACUGGCCAGUCCUAUCUUGUUGUCGGGGACUAGCUCCUUGGAUUCACUUCCUGGGACUAGGAGCUGACGAGGUUACUUUGAGUAAAUUAGAGUGUUCAAAGCAAGCCUACGCUCUGAAUACAUUAGCAUGGAAUAACACGAUAGGACUCUGGCCUAUCUUGUUGGUCUGUAGGACCGGAGUAAUGAUUAAGAGGGACAGUCGGGGGCAUUCGUAUUUCAUUGUCAGAGGUGAAAUUCUUGGAUUUAUGAAAGACGAACUACUGCGAAAGCAUUUGCCAAGGAUGUUUUCAUUGA
rnacentral:rRNA from 1 species